GACGAACGCUGGCGGCGUGCCUAAUACAUGCAAGUAGAACGCACAGUUUAUACCGUAGCUUGCUACACCAUAAACUGUGAGUUGCGAACGGGUGAGUAACGCGUAGGUAACCUGCCUGGUAGCGGGGGAUAACUAUUGGAAACGAUAGCUAAUACCGCAUAAUAUUGAUUAUUGCAUGAUAAUUGAUUGAAAGAUGCUAUUGCAUCACUACCAGAUGGACCUGCGUUGUAUUAGCUAGUAGGUGAGGUAACGGCUCACCUAGGCGACGAUACAUAGCCGACCUGAGAGGGUGAUCGGCCACACUGGGACUGAGACACGGCCCAGACUCCUACGGGAGGCAGCAGUAGGGAAUCUUCGGCAAUGGACGAAAGUCUGACCGAGCAACGCCGCGUGAGUGAAGAAGGUUUUCGGAUCGUAAAGCUCUGUUGUAAGAGAAGAACGGGUGUGAGAGUGGAAAGUGCACACUGUGACGGUAUCUUACCAGAAAGGGACGGCUAACUACGU
rnacentral:rRNA from 1 species